rnacentral:lncRNA from 1 species
AUUAAAGAAAAAGAAGAGUUUUCAAAUAAUAAAUUGUUUCUAACCGUUUCCCACUACUGCCACGUGUCACCCAUGAGAUGCCAUAUUUUCCCGCUUUCUCAUCCUUGAUAUAACUGAGCUUCACUCCACAACAUUCUUGCUUUUUGCCAUCUCUCUUUGUAUCAGUUUCUCUCUCUAAAACUGUUUCAUAUUCUCCUUCUUCGCUCAAGCUUAUGAUCUUCAGAGAUUGAACUUCAACAAGGUAUCUCCGUUCACUCGCUUCUUUCUCCAUCACCGGAAUAUUCUUUUUCUGUUUCUUGUUCAACCAGAUACACGUCUUCUCAUACACGUUUUUCGUAUGAGCUUUGGAGAAUGAACUUCAACAAGGUAUCUCCCUUCACUCACUUCUUUCUCCGUCACCGGAAUAUUCUUAUUACGUUUCUUGUCCAACCAGAAACACGAUCUUUGGAGAAUGAAUUUCAAGAAGGUAUCUCCGUUCACUCACUUCUUUAUCCCUCACCGGAAUAUUCUUUUUAUGUUUCUUGUCUAACCAGAAAGAUGUUUUUUCGUAUGAUCCUCGGAGAUUGAACUUCAAGAAGGUAUCUCUGUCACCGUCUCCGUUUUUUCGUUUCUUUUUCUAUACACAUAUAUAUUUUAAAAUUUCAAAAAGCUGAUUAAAAUUAAAAGCUGAAAAAUAUAUUGAGAAAUAGUGAAGGAAUUAUGUUGAUCAUUUUGACAUGAUGACGAUCCAUGUAGCUGACUCUACUCAUUGAAAUUAAGCCUUGGUUAUUGUAGACGAUGUGCAGCAGAAAUUUUGUGGCUUCUAACUAUAUCAUGAUGCGUUACUAUUAAUAUCUUCAAUGUUUUAUGGUACUGGCAGGUUGAAGAUAGGAUUUAUGUUGAAGAUAUUACAGCUGAAUGUAAUAUUACAGAAAGACAGAUCAAGUUCUUGAAGAUGUGUCAUCUCCAUUUCAUGUCAUUGCUUGUGUCAAUUGUAUGCCAUACAUGCAGAACUAUUCUUAGUGAAAAGGUCUUUCAAACUUGACUUCCUUGAGUAUCAGGAAGAGCAGCACCGUCACACCUGAUGGAAUGUUCACUGUUCAGAGAAGUUGGACCUUGAUGGGUGUUCACUGUUCAGAGAUUCACAGUGGAUUUGUUCAUCUUCAAGCAUCGUGUGUGUUCAAGCUUUAAUAGUGGUAUCUGCAACUUGGUGAAGGAAGGUAAAGGAAGAACACAAUCACAUCUAAUCCCUAUGGUAGGAAAUAGUAGCUUCAACAUGACUCUGCCAACACUUGAAGGCAAGAAUUACGAAAGAUAACAUAUUCAAAUGAAUGUGCUCUUUGGGUGUUUUGCAAAAUGGCAUUGUUCAUGAUUCAUCAAUGCGUGAAUGAGUCGAAUUUUGAGAAGAUUGCAAGGCAUUGACUACAAAAGAAGCAUGGGACAUCCUUGAGAAAUGCUAUAUAGGGGAUGAGAAAGUGAAAUUGCAGACCUUGAGAAGAUAGUAUGAGUUGUUGAAAUGAGGGAGAGUGAUACAAUUGGUGAUUACUACACAAAGCUCAUAUCAUUGACAAAUUAUAUGAAGGGAUGUGGUGAGGCGACGGAAGAUCAAUUGGUGGUAGAAAAGGUGUUAAGAACACUCACCUCCAAGUUUGCUCAUGUGGUAGAUGCCAUAGAAGAAUGAAAAGAUCUUGAUAUACUCAAGAUUGAGGAUCUUUAAAGUUCCUUGGAAGUACAUGAACAUAGAAUCAAAGUAAAGAUUCAAGGUAGAGGAUCUGAACAAGCUCUUCAAGUUGAGUCUUGCAUAUCAAGGAAUUUUGGCUAAAGAAAUAUUCAAAGAAAGGCAUGCAUUUGAUUGAAGUGGAUGAUGAAGAGGAUAGUGAAGCAAUAUUGUGGUAAUGCUUGGCGUCUACUAUGGUGGCGUUGGGCGUUUGUUGUGGCGGUGUUGGGCGUCUGUGGCAACAUUUGGUGUAUGUCGUGGUGUUGGGCGUCUACGGCGGUGCUGGGAGUCUGUGGUGGUGUUGUGAGUGUGAGGCGACACUAGGUGUGUGAGGUGACGCUGGGCGUGUGAGGUGACGCUGGGCGUGUGAUGCAGCAUUGGGCGUCUACCAUGGUGUUGCUGAGCGUCUCUAGCAGCGUUGGGUGUUAGGCGGCACUGAGCGUGUAAACGGCUUUAAGAGUGUGAGGCGGUAGUGGGCGUUUGUCGUGGCGAUGAUGGACGUCUGCCAUGGCGGGAUUGGUGUUUGUGGCAGCUGUGGGCGUCUAGUGCAACUUUGGUCGUCUGUGGCAGAGCUGGGUGUUUGUGGUGGCGUUAGGCGUGUGAGGCGGCAUAAAGCGUGCGAGGUGACAAUGGGAGUGUGGCGGCGUUGGGUGUAAGGCUGCAUUGGGCGUGUAAGGCUGUGAUGGGUGUGAGGUGGCGAUGGGUGUGAGGCGAUGCUGGGCGUGUAAGGCGAUGAUGGGCGUGUAAGGUGACGCUGGGGUUCUAUGGUGGUGACAGUGGGUGUGUGAAGCGUUAGGCAUGUGAAGCGGCGAUGGGUGUAUGAGGCGACGCUGGGCGUCUAUGGUGGUGCUGAGCGUUUGUGGCGGUUUUGGGCGUCUGCCGUGGCAGUGAUGGGCAUCUGUCGUGGCAGUGAUGAGCGUCUAUUGAAGUGGCGAUGAGCGUCUGUCGUGACGACGUUGGGCGCCUAGGGGCGUUUGGGGCGUCGUUGGACGUGUGCGGCAGAGCUGGGCAUGUGAGGUAGCAAAGGGCAUUUGUGUCAGCGCCAAGCGUUUGAGGCCGUGGUGGGCGUGUGAGGCGACGUUGAGGGUCUGGGGCGACGCCGGGCGUCUGUGGCACUGCUAGGCGUUUGUGCUGGUGAAGUGCGGCUGUCGUGUCGACGAUGGGUGCUGUCGUCUGGGAGUCUGUGGCGGUGGUGGGCAUUUGUGGCGGAGGUGGGCGUGUAGUAAUGGUGGGCGUUUGUGGCAGGUGUGGACGUUUGUGGCAGCGGUGGGCGUGUGACGACGGUGGGCAUUUGGUACGACCUUGGUCGUGUCGCGGUUGGGCGUGUGAGGCGACAUAGGGCAUGUGAGGCGGCGGUGGGCGUGCGAGGCGGUAGUGGGUGUGGGAGGCGGCGAUGGGCGUGCG